rnacentral:rRNA from 1 species
GGGACCCUACGGGAGGCAGCAGUGGGGAAUAUUGGACAAUGGGCGAAAGCCUGAUCCAGCCAUGCCGCGUGUGUGAAAAAGGCUUCGGGUCGUAAAGCACUUUAAGUUGGGAGGAAGGGCUCAUAGCGAAUACCUGUAAUUUUGACAGAUCCG